UACGAAGGGGGCUAGCGUUGCUCGGAAUCACUGGGCGUAAAGGGUGCGUAGGCGGGUUUUUAAGUCAGGGGUGAAAUCCUGGAGCUCAACUCCAGAACUGCCUUUGAUACUGAAGAUCUUGAGUCCGGGAGAGGUGAGUGGAACUGCGAGUGUAGAGGUGAAAUUCGUAGAUAUUCGCAAGAACACCAGUGGCGAAGGCGGCUCACU
rnacentral:rRNA from 1 species